CAGUCGCCGCGGGAAUACGUAGGUGGCAAGCGUUGUCCGGAAUUAUUGGGCGUAAAGGGCUCGCAGGCGGUUUCUUAAGUCUGAUGUGAAAGCCCCCGGCUCAACCGGGGAGGGUCAUUGGAAACUGGGAAACUUGAGUGCAGAAGAGGAGAGUGGAAUUCCACGUGUAACGGUGAAAUGCGUAGAGAUGUGGAGGAACACCAGUGGCGAAGGCGACUCUCUGGUCUGUAACUGACGCUGAGGAGCGAAAGCGUGGGGAGCGAACAGGAUUAGAUACCCCAGUAGUCCCUGUCUCUUAUAC
rnacentral:rRNA from 1 species